GUGCUUGCUUCACCAGCACAUACAAUAAAAUUGGAGAAUUUUAUUGUAUGUGGAGAAGAUUAGCAUGGUCCUGUACAAGGAUGACACAAAAAUUUGUGAAACAUUUCAUUAAAAA
ensembl:snRNA U6 U6 spliceosomal RNA